AAGAUGGUUUCGGCUAUCACUUACAGAUGGGCCCGCGGUGCAUUAGCUAGUUGGUGAGGUAACGGCUCACCAAGGCAACGAUGCAUAGCCGACCUGAGAGGGUGAUCGGCCACACUGGGACUGAGACACGGCCCAGACUCCUACGGGAGGCAGCAGUAGGGAAUCUUCCGCAAUGGACGAAAGUCUGACGGAGCAACGCCGCGUGAGUGAUGAAGGCUUUCGGGUCGUAAAACUCUGUUGUUAGGGAAGAACAAGUACGAGAGUAACUGCU
rnacentral:rRNA from 1 species